rnacentral:rRNA from 1 species
GGAAUUUUGCGCAAUGGGGGAAACCCUGACGCAGCAACGCCGCGUGGAGGAUGAAGGCCUUCGGGUCGUAAACUCCUGUCAAUCGGGACGAAUGCACCUGACCUAAUACGUCGGCGUGUUGACUGUACCGGUGAAGGAAGCCACGGCUACCUCCGUGCCCGCAGCCGCGGUAAUACCGAGGUGGCAAGCGUUGUUCGGAAUUACUGGGCGUAAAGGGCGCGCAGGCGGCCAAGCAAGUCCCGUGUGAAAUCCCCCGGCUCAACUGGGGAACUGCACGGGAUACUGCCUGGCUUGAGUUCGGGAGAGGGAAGCGGAAUUCCGGGUGUAGCGGUGAAAUGCGCAGAUAUCCGGAGGAACACCAGCGGCGAAGGCGGCUUCCUGGACCGACACUGACGCUGAGGCGCGAAAGCUGGGGGAGCA